rnacentral:rRNA from 1 species
AUACAGAGGGUGCAAGCGUUAAUCGAAAUUACUGGGCGUAAAGGGUGCGCAGGCGGCGGCUUAAGUCGGAUGUGAAAGCCCCGGGCUCAACCCGGGAACUGCAUUCGAUACUGGGGUGCUUGAGUCUAGUAGAGGGAAGUGGAAUUCCGGGUGUAGCGGUGAAAUGCGUAGAUAUCCGGAGGAACACCGGUGGCGAAGGCGGCUUCCUGGACUAAGACUGACGCUGAGGCACGAAAGCGUGGGGAGCAAACAGGAUUAGAUACCCCGGUAGUCC